rnacentral:tRNA from 1 species
CCUCAGUAGCUCAAUGGUGGAGCAACCGGCUGUUAACCGGUAGGUUGGCGGUUCGAGUCCGUCCUGAGGAGCCA